GGCUCGCGCACGAUGCACGCACCCACUGACCUGCGCCCACUGUCUGGCACUCCCUAGUGAGAUGAACCUGGUACCUCAGAUGGAAAUGCAGAAAUCACCCGUCUUCUGCGUUGCUCACGCUGGGAGCUGUAGACCAGAGCUGUUCCUAUUCGGCCUUCUUGGCUCCUUCCCUGGGCUCUUUUAUAUUGCUGGCAAAAUAGUGACUCCCCGUGGAACAGAGUUGUUGUUCAGCAGAAAUAAUCAAGAGUUGACAUCAUACCAGACCUCGGGACUCAACAAUAAACCAGACCAGUAUGGCUCUAUCUUCAUGAAGAACAUACACAAUAAUUCAGGACUCACAGAAGUCGAUGAGCAGAACACAGAAGACUCAACCUGAAGAAAUUCCAUAUACGUGCUACUCCUGUAGGCACAAGCAAGAAAAAAUAUUCAAGGAUAAGAGUUUCAUGAGAGUAGAAGUCUUAAUCCAUGAACCUGGAAAAAGAUAUUCACAUCAAGGAUGGCACCCUUCUCCUGGGAGAAACCUCCCUGGGUAAUACUGAUCUCAUAUUGUGAAUUGUUUGAGAUUUGAAGAAUGGAUUAAAGAGAAAAUGAUUGUGCCCGUAGACCAAUGAAGAGACUGUUGCAAUAACUCAGUGCAACUGCCACCAAAAUGUAAAAUUUUCAUAAAAAUCCUU
rnacentral:lncRNA from 1 species